CCUUUACAAUACAUCUAAACCGCUCCCAAAACAGAUGAAGAAGAUGAGUUUCAAAAGAACAUUGGCUAAGAAGCCCCCACUUUUGAUGUUGGUGGAAUAGAAUAUUCUCCAAAUACCCAAACCCAGAAGGAAAGUCUGUGCUCCAAAAAUAAAUCGGGUGUUCUGUUCUAAUGGAAGAGGAGCUGAGAGUAAGGGAUCUUUGGAAAUAGGAAUAACACAAAGACAAAUUGCAGUGACAGGCUUAUCCUGCCUUUCCUCCCACCGAAUACUCUGGGAAACCAUCCAUGGCUUGUUGCCCUUAAAGGCCUAUUUUCCGUAUAACACAGCACAUAAGAGUGACUUCUCCGAGCACAGAGGAGAAAGCGAGCAGCCCAAGGAAUAGAGUGACCGGAUAGUACAGGACAAACUCGCGGAUGAGGAGCUGGAGACCCAGGUGGCGGCUUCUCCCCAGAUGGCAGUUUUGAUAUUGAGAUCAGAAGAGGAUCUUUCAAAACAGCUUAUAAAGGACUGGCUAUGGAGACUACUGUGUAGGUGGCCUGGUGUGAACUGCAGGUAAGAGGGAUGGAUGGGAGGCCAAGGCCAAUGCAGUCAGUGCACUCGAAGCAUAUGAAGCAGUGGGGAGGAGGGGGCAUUACUCAUUCCCAUGAGAAUAGUAGGGAGAGGUAGGCCUGGUCCUGAUGCAGUGUUAUUUUAAAUGUGAGGUCCAUGGGGUUUGAGGA